UAAACAGACUGCCUGUGCAAACAGAGAGGAAGGAGGGGACGACGUCAAGUCAUCAUGGCCCUUACGUCCGGGGCUACACACGUGCUACAAUGGACGGUACAGAGGGCAGCUAUACAGCAAUGUAAUGCCAAUCUCAAAAAGCCGUUCACAGUUCGGAUUGGGGUCUGCAACUCGACCCCAUGAAGUUGGAUUCGCUAGUAAUCGCAUAUCAGCAAUGAUGCGGUGAAUACGUUCCCGGGCCUUGUACACACCGCCCGUCAAGCCAUGGAAGUUGGGGGUACCUAAAGUACGUAACCGCAAGGAGCGUCCUAGGGUAAAACCGAUAACUGGGGCUAAGUCGUAACAAGGUAACC
rnacentral:rRNA from 1 species